rnacentral:rRNA from 1 species
AGCCUAUUGAUUAUUAAUAAUAGGUGAAUUCUGCCCAGUGAUAUUUUAACGGCCGCGGUACCCUGACCGUGCAAAGGUAGCAUAAUCAUUUGCCUUUUAAUUGGAGGCUAGAAUGAAUGAAUAAACGAGAAUCAUACUUUUCCACACCUUUCUGUAAAAAUUAUUCUUCAGGUGAAGAAACCUGAAUUUCCUAAAAAGACAAGAAGACCCUAUCAAGCUUUAUAUUUAUUUAGAUCUUACCUAUAAUAAUAUUUGGUUGGGGCGACUAAUGGAGUUUCACUUACUUCCAUAAACCUAAAGAGUUUUAUCUCUCUAUAUUUAAUUAUUUAAAACAAAAAAGCUACUGUAGGGAUAACAGGCUAAUAUUUUCCUAGAGUCCAAAUUAAAGAAAAUGAUUGGCACCUCGAUGUUGGCUUAGGAGCCCUACUCUCUGCAGAAGGAGAGUCAGGUAGUUUGUUCAACUAUUAAAUUCCU